GAUGAACGCUGGCGGCGUGCCUAAUACAUGCAAGUCGAGCGAACAGACGAGGAGCUUGCUCCUCUGACGUUAGCGGCGGACGGGUGAGUAACACGUGGAUAACCUACCUAUAAGACUGGGAUAACUUCGGGAAACCGGAGCUAAUACCGGAUAAUAUAUUGAACCGCAUGGUUCAAUAGUGAAAGACGGUUUUGCUGUCACUUAUAGAUGGAUCCGCGCCGCAUUAGCUAGUUGGUAAGGUAACGGCUUACCAAGGCGACGAUGCGUAGCCGACCUGAGAGGGUGAUCGGCCAAACUGGAACUGAGACACGGUCCAGACUCCUACGGGAGGCAGCAGUAGGGAAUCUUCCGCAAUGGGCGAAAGCCUGACGGAGCAACGCCGCGUGAGUGAUGAAGGUCUUCGGAUCCUAAAACUCUGUUAUUAGGGAAGAACAAAUGUGUAAGUAACUAUGCACGUCUUGACGGUACCUAAUCAGAAAGCCACGGCUAACUACGUG
rnacentral:rRNA from 1 species